CGGAGAAGUUAAUUUCUUUGCAGGAGCCGGAGCAGGAGUUGAUGCAAGUGGUGCAGGAGAAGGCGCUGCCGGAGGAGGUGGAGGGGUAGCGGGUGGAGGUGGAGAGUUCACUUGCGGAGGAGGAGAAGCAGGAGGAGUGGGAGGUGGUGUAGAUGAAACGACCGGUGGUGGUGAAGCAGUUGGUGGUGGCUGAGCCGGUGGCGUUUGAGUGUUAACUGGAGGAGGAGAACUAUUGGGUGUUGGUGGAGCUUGGUUCGUGGGUGUUGGUGGUGCCUGGGUAGUGGGUGUAGGAGGAGCUUGGUUCGUGGGUGUUGGUGGUGCCUGGGUAGUGGGUGUAGGUGGUGCUUGGGUAGUAGGGGGUGUAGGAGGAGCUUGGUUAGUGGGUGUUGGUGGUGCCUGGUUAGUGGGUGUAGGUGGUGCUUGGGUAGUAGGGGGUGUUGGUGGUGCUUGAGUAGGUGUUGGUGGUCCUGGAGGUGCUUGACCACCAACUCCAGCUAUGAUAAUGCAGAUCAUAAAUCCCAACGAAACAGCAUUAUUCCUAUCCAUCAUUUUGACAAUAUAAUGGAGAGGAGGAAAUUGAA
rnacentral:lncRNA from 1 species